GCAGAGAUGGUUCAGCAGUUAAGAGCAUGGACUGGGAUUCCAGAGGAUCUGGGUUCAAUCCCCAGCACCUACA
rnacentral:tRNA from 1 species